rnacentral:rRNA from 1 species
UGUUCAUUACAUGUCUAGUAUAAGCACUUUAUACUGUGAACUGCGAAUGGCUCAUUAAAUCAGUUAUCGUUUAUUUGAUAGUACCUUACUACAUGGAUACCUGUGGUAAUUCUAGAGCUAAUACAUGCUGAAAACCUCGACUUCGGAAGGGGUGUAUUUAUUAGAUAAAAAACCAAUGCCCUUCGGGGCUCCUUGGUGAAUCAUAAUAACUUAACGAAUCGCAUGGCCUUGCGCCGGCGAUGGUUCAUUCAAAUUUCUGCCCUAUCAACUUUCGAUGGUAGGAUAGUGGCCUACCAUGGUGGCAACGGGUAACGGGGAAUUAGGGUUCGAUUCCGGAGAGGGAGCCUGAGAAACGGCUACCACAUCCAAGGAAGGCAGCAGGCGCGCAAAUUACCCAAUCCCGACACGGGGAGGUAGUGACAAUAAAUACUGAUACGGGGCUCUUUUGGGUCUCGUAAUUGGAAUGAGUACAAUCUAAAUCCCUUAACGAGGAACAAUUGGAGGGCAAGUCUGGUGCCAGCAGCCGCGGUAAUUCCAGCUCCAAUAGCGUAUAUUAAAGUUGUUGCAGUUAAAAAGCUCGUAGUUGAACCUUGGGUCUGGCUGGCCGGUCCGCCUCACCGCGAGUACUGGUCCGGCUGGACCUUUCCUUCUGGGGAAUCUCAUGGCCUUCUCUGGCUGCGGGGGGAAUCUGGACUUUUACUGGUCAAAAAAUUGAGGUGUUCAGAGCAGAGCUUGCUCCAAUACAUCAUAUUGGAAUAAAGAAUAGUAAAGGGGGACUUCAAUUUGUUGGG